rnacentral:rRNA from 1 species
AGCGAACGCUGGCGGCGUGCUUAACACAUGCAAGUCGAGCGAAGGUGUUUCAAGGGUAACCUUGAGAUACACUUAGCGGCGGACGGGUGAGUAAUACGUGGAUAACUUACCUCUAGGCCUGGGAUAACCCCGGGAAACUGGGGCUAAUACCUGAUAAGACCACAUUGUCUACGGACAAAGGGGUAAAAGGUGGCUGUGCAAACAGCUAUCGCCAAAAGAUAGGUUCACGUCCCAUCAGGCAGUGGUGAGGUAAUGGCUCACCAAACCAAAGACGGGUAGCCGGCCUUGGCGGGUGAACGGCCACACGGGGACUGAGACACGGCCCCGACUCCUACGGGA